rnacentral:lncRNA from 1 species
CACCCCUUGUGGGAGGGAGCACACAGUUGAGUAGAUGCAGGAGCUGGAACCAGCGCUUUUGGGCUCUGGCAGGAGCAUACUCCAUGUGGGCCCUGUGGCAGCAUCUAGGUGGGGGUGCCUGUGGCCCCCGAUCCCCUAGAGGGCAUGUUACAGUGCUCUUUUAGCUCUGUCAUCCACGGGCGGCUUAAAUGUUAACUGGUCAGUGGGCCCUCUGCCUUUUUGCAUGAAGCAGCUGCUCUUUGCCAGCGAGGGCAAAGGAUCAGCAUGACACCCUUUUGUAUCCACACUUGCGGCUCCUGAAUGGUAGUGCGGCAUCCAGGAAAAAUAAGGUCUCACUAACGAAUUGAAGGAUGGUAAAUGCAGGGGAUUAUUACUAUUUUUUAUUUUAUUUUUUAUUUUAUUUUUUUUGCUGAUGAAAGUGGCUCUCAGUGGGAAGAGGAGCUGAAAAGGGGGUGAGGUGGGGCAGUGACGAUGGAAGAAAAAGGCAAGACUUCACUUUGGGAGGCUGAGGCGGGCAGAUCACGAGGUCAGGAGAUCGAGACCAUCCUGGCUAACACAGUGAAACCCCAUCUCUACUAAAAAUACAAAAAAUUAGCUAGGCGUGGUGGCAGACACCUGGAGUCCCAGCGACUCAGGAGGCUGAAGCAGGAGAAUGGCGUGAACCCGGGAGGCGGAGCUUGCAGUGAGCCAGGCUCGCGCCACUACACUCCAGCCUGGGCGACAGAGCAAGACUCCAUUUCAAAAAAAAAAGGCACCACUUGAUGAGGAUUUCUAGAGUAAAAUAUAUUUUUAAACAUGGGGGCUAGAAACUGGAACAGCACUUUAUAAUAUUAAUAAAUGUUGAGCAUACAAGACGUAGAGAGGUUUGGUUAAGAGGCUGUGAGAACAUAUCUGUUCAUGCUAAAUAUGUAAUUCUGAAAGUAUUUUAUUACUUUGAACCUCAAUUUUUCAAGGUAAAGUAGCCAUACAUAUUCAUCUCAAAGGAUUAUUAAACUUAUGGAAAAAGUAAAUCAGAAAAUGCAUGUAAAGUAAUCAAGAAUAGUUUAAGUGGAAGCCAAUUAAGUGGAAGGUAUUGAAUAAAUGGCAGUUGUUACUAGUAUAAUUAUUUCUUGUUUAUAUUGUUUUAUUAGAGUGAACUUAGAAACAAAUAUACUUCAUGAAAAUGAAAAUAAAUAUCAGAAUCAUGGAGCGGAAAUAUGUACAUGUCCACCUGACAGUCAUUAUUAUAAUAUAAUAGUUGAAAAGACAAAACCAGACCAAUAGUUUAUAGAAUUCUCAUAGAAUUUUGUUCCUUGUUUUGUUGAAAGUAAAUUGAGUUUUAUAAAAUUUGAACUUGCUGAGUGAAACAAAUAAACACUAGAACCUAUUAGCUAUCAGCAGCAGGCGUCUACAGAAACAUUAGAACCUCUGGAUAUGUGCCUAUGCCUGAAUGAUUUACAUUUUAGCCUUCAAAGCAUUCUCUCAGUAGCAGAGCAGGCUAGCUUUAAGCCAAAAUGUGAAAUAUGCGAAGUUUUUCUUCAGAUGCUGCCUUUUCAAAUCCUUUGCAGUGAAUGGGGGAGACAGAUUAUAGAAUAUGACCUGAAAAAUCCCUAAGGGUUUCUAAGCAUCAGAUAUAGCAUAUUCUGUUAUCUCCAUCUAUUUUCAUAGAAGUGUAAUCAAGUAAAAUGAAUAUUUGAUAUUGAUUUUAAAGAGAAAAAGGAAAUCACAAAAGGGAAACGUGACAUUAGGGAAAUAGAGGGCAUCUGACAAGAGACUUGACUUUGGUAGGGAUGGUUGAAAGUGGUUAUUGGUACAUAAAACACAAGUUAUUUGUAGCAGUCACUGACAGAACUAUAUCCUUUGUCGAUGACAGGCUUUAUAAGUCAUUGCUGGAACCUGAGAUUCUGGCAAACUCAAAACCUGUGUUCCCAAAAUAUGCGAGACACAAUAUAUAUUAUUAUUUCCUUUCCAUGACUGGGCAUACAGAUAAAUGAAUCUCUCCUUCCAUUCCUAAAAGGAAAAAUGAUCAUCACCAUCAUCACCACCAUCAUUAUAAUCAUAGCCAUAAUCACUUACACAUAGUCAUGAGACAACUUACAUUGACCCAAGUCCUCUCCUAGUUGCUUUCUAAUUAUUAACUCAUUUACUUUACCAGCAACCCCUUGAGGUAGGCACCAUUGCUCUCCCCAUUUUACUAAUGAGGAACCUAAGGUACAGAGAAGUCAUAGAACCUUCCUAAAGUCAUACAGGGAAUUCUUUCAUUAGGCUAGCUAUCAUUUCCAUGGGCCCAAAGAGUCUGAUGACUAUUUCAAUUAUCCAGGGCAGAUAAUCUUUGUAUCUGUUGGAAAGACAGUACUGCAGUGUGGUUAAAUAAGGUUGCCAAAUCAAAUCUCUUACUAACUGCAGGGGAAAAUGGGUCUCACUCUCACUAACUCUAUGACUUUGAAACACGUAUGUAACCCACUUGAAUUUGAAUGUCUCCAUCUAUAAAAUGAAGACAAAGGUGAAAAUGGAGGUGUGUUAGGUCAUAGUCUGUAAUCCUUGUGGCAUGUCUCUAUGUAUACCUAAGUGAAAAUUCUCUAAGUUCUCAAGUACAAAUGGAGACAGUGGGAGAUGGCCCCAGUGUCCUCAUAUCAAGAUUUUCUAGACCCAGUGACCAUGCAUGAGGCCUCCUUGAUGCCAUAACUCUCUGAAUAGCUAAACUGUUUUCGUGGAUGGGCUUUAAAAGUUGUUGCGGAGUGCUGAUAUAGCUCAAGUAUAACAGCAGUGAGCCUACAGUUCCAUGAUUUUCAAACUCACGGGUAUCUCACUCUGUUGUAUAACCUGCUAAGAUCACCAAGAUUCAGAUGCAAUUCUUUGAGUCAUAAGGUAGGCAAUGGGGAAACUUUUCCACUCACUGUUUUUAUUACCUGGUUUAUAACUUUAAUUUGUUUACUUGAAGACCUCCAAGAAUCCAAAGGUAAAGUGACUUUGAGUGAAGGUUAUAGUCAUUUUCACCCACACUUGAAUUUGAAACACCUGUGUGCUCUAACCCAGCUCAGUAUACCAAGCAGAUAACAAUGACUCUAUGUACUAGUGCAUAUCUAAUAAAUGUCUAUAAUAUUUCAGGAGAUAAGUGGCCUUAAAGGACUUCUCUCAUUGUAGAUUCUCAGCAAUUGCCUAAUUAACAUAAAAUCAGUGUGCCCUUCCUUAGUAGGUGAGUUACCACACGUAAUAAGCCAUGUUUUUUACUUUGUUUUAACAAAUCAAGCCUUUGCUUCUCUUGGUUUGAAACUUCACUCUAAAAUUAUUAGGGCCUCUAACUCCUGUAACUCCCACAGUACCCUAAUUGUCCACUAUAAAUGACUGCUGUCAUACCAUGAAAUCCAAUUGGGUAUAUCUUUUUCCCUCCUGCAAAAUAUAUUUAUUUAUUUAUUUAUUUGCUUAUUUUUAUUUUAUUUGCUUGCUGGACUUGUGCUAAUUGAGACAGAUGGUGUUAUGAUUUUUUAUAUUUUAUCUAUAAAAUGAGAAAUUCAAUUGACUGCCACAUUUAAAAACUUAGUUACUUAAUCAUUUUCCAUUUUUCCAUAAACUCCCUGAAAUUAGUAUAUAUUUAAGUAGAAAGAAUUGAGAAACAGAGUUAAAUUAUUUGCAAGACUAUAGAGUAAAUUAAAGAAACAAUUCACCAUCAAGGUGAGGUAAGCUAAAUCACCUCUAAUACAUUUAGAUUCAUUUUUCCAUGAUGUCAUUAGAUUGUGAUUCUAAUAAUCAACUAACAUUAUUCUAUUAAUGGAUUUAUUGCAUUUGGCAAUAUUUUCACUAAUAUUUUGGAAUAUUUAAAUCUAUGUGGUGGACUGCACUAAUCCUAUUUGCCCACUUCCCUAGGUUAUUAUUUCUGGUCCUCAAUUCAAUCAUAAUACUCUAAGCUAGGUUAAAGCCUGAUAUUAUUUAUUAUUUGUUUUAAUAAAAUUAACACUCAGUGCAUGCUUCUAACCUAUCAGCAAUCUGGUGUGUAAUGUUUAUUCAUUCUAUCUUCUUUAAUAUCUGCAGAUAGUUUCUGUAUCUUAACAGUAAUAUAAAAACAAACAGUGUGUGUUUUUCCCUUGUAGAAUGACUCAUUGUAUGGGGAGAAAUGGUGUCCCACUGACUAAACAUUUUUACAUAGUCAGUUACAAAAUAUCUUACAUGUAGAGUUGUAAGGUCAUUAAUGAAUUCAUUCUUUUGUCAUUAUUUGAGGCAUAUUUUGUAUCAGAUACUCUACUAAGCAUUGACUUCAAGGAGGUUAAUGUCACACUGUUUAAUGAUUGUAUUUUUCACCCUCCUAUGUCACUAGGUUUAGUCAUUCUAGUAAAACUUUAUAAAUUCCUUCUAUAGUUAACAAUUUUCUCUUUGCUCUGAAUCAUCUCUUCGGGUGUUCUAUAAAUAGGACAGUGGCAUUGCUCAAAUGGAAGAUUCUGACAAGAGAACUUCCGCCAGCAGGAAACCAGAGGGUCCCCAAGGGAAGUCAUCGCUGAGAAAUCUCAGAAGAUUUCCUCUUUCUGAACUUGUGAAGAUUCAUCUUGCUUUCCUUGAUUGUCCUUACAAGGCAUGAAAGAGAUAAUUGCUUUAUCCUCUCUCUGUAGCAUAUACUCUAUGUAUCAGGGGCAAUGAAUAACUAUUUCAUAAGGAAGUCUCUCUGAUGAAACCCCAAGAGUACAUAUGGGUCAGUAAGAAAAUGAAGUGUAGCAAAUUACCUCUGUCUUUGGAACAAUUUGUUUCUUGCCUUACAGUUACUUUUGAAAUAGAAGUUAUACGUCUGUGAAAAAUAUUCACAAUAUGUGUCAUAUGAGAUGUAUACAUAGAUCAUUUCUCAUGGUUGAUAUUGUCUAUAAUUGGUUCUGGUUCUGACAAAUUCUAUAUAAUGCAUGAUCGAUACCUUAUAUAAAAACCAAUGCAAUAAACUUAGAAAGAAAUCAAAUAAGGUGAAAGAAAAAUACCAUAAUGUAUGCCAUUUAAUAUAAAUAUAAAUUAAGAAAAUGGCUACUUAAUAUUUCUAAAUGUAAUCAUAAAAGUUACAAGACACAAAAGAUACUCUUUAGCAAAACAUCUUAUAAUAUUACUUAUAUUUGCUCUACUAUUGUAGACUCGCUUUUAAGAUUUUCCAUUAUCUGGUCCUAAACUUUCUGUUGAGAUAUUUGAUGUGGCUCAAAGAAUACCAUACUAAAUCUUAUAAUUCAGUUCCCAUUUUUUGCACUGAUACUAAAAUCUGUGUCACUUUGGUUAAGUUCUUGACACUUCUUCACUUCAAAUAUCUUAUAUAUAAUGUGACUGAUCUAUGUGACCUCUGAGGUUACUUUUCACUUUAACAUGAUGACUUUUGUAUUUAUUUUUACUUCUCAAUACACUCUCAAAUGUAUGUGACACAUUCUGGCCUCAAACCCUUGCAUAAGCCUAUUAGUCUGCCACUAUAUUGUAGGCUCCAAGAGAAUAGAGACGGUAAACAUUUUGUUUAUCGAUAACUCCCAACAACAUGUUCUAAUAUAUUUAUUAUGUAAAAUGCCUUCUAUCUGGCUAUUCAUUUCCACCUUUCUGCUUCCUUUUCAUUCAUUCACUCGUUCUUCAUAUAUUAAUUCAUUCACCUGCUUAUCUUUGCAUUCUUUAAAUUCUCUCUGCAUUCAAGGUCAACUGAUCUUCAGCUUUUCCAUUAAGCUCUACUGAUCAUUCCAGCCAUAACUGAUCUUUGUCUGUUUAAACUCCUACCACAUACACAGUGGUGAUCACAUUAUUAUGGACCUAAGAAUAGAAUCUUUGUAGACUUAUUAAUAUAUUGCUAUACUGCUCUUCAAUGUUUCUGAUUUUCCCAAUGACUCUGAAUUUAUUAAAGGCAGACAUAUUAUAACACGAGUCUUCUAAAAGUUAUCCAUGACUUGUAAUACAAUCUAGACAAAGAAUUUCAAAACUGUAAUUUAGCAUAUUCUCUCUCACUAGCUAAUACAUGUUUAAACACAUAUAUACACACAAUUCUUGAUGGUCCAUCAGUAUCCAGUAAUUUAUUCUGGUAAAAAUGGGAACAGUAAAGGGGACUAAGUGAUAUAAGUGAUAUACACGCCAGGAAAUGGCCACUGAACUUUUCCUCUAAUUUACUGGAAUAAUUGUAAAUCCAUAAUUAUCUGAAGUACGAGUAUAACACUGCAUUUCUUAAUUUUGCCCAUGAUAUAAAAAGACUCUUUCCUUCCCUUGUCUUUGCCACCAUUUUUUUUUUUUUUCUGUGAGAAAAGCCAAGUGGUCUGAAGUUAUGCUGGUGCACAAGGCAUUUUAAAAUAGCCUUCAUUUACGAGCAAUCAUCUAUGAAGGACUAACAUUUAAGGAGUCUUGCUGUGUCCUUUUUUGAGAUUACAGCUUCCAUACAAGUGACAAAUAUAUUUAGAUGGAACAUAAAGUGUUCUCUGCACAGUUUUCGAUUUGUAUAGUUAGCAUCCAUACCUUUUAGGAUAAAAUGCUCAAAUGAGAAAUGUUGAAGAAUACUAACUUCUAACAAAUAACUAAAAUAGAUGUUAUCCCAGAAGGGUAACAGCAGGCUGUAUUUCCAGGGAAUACAUUUGAGCAAGUAAUUUAUAUUUCCUUUCUAAGGAAAUAUGGUAAAUAAGUUUGUUUGUACUUUUCUUUUAUUCCCUCAAAAAUUUCAGAGAAUCAGAGAUUGAAAUGACAGAGAGAAUUCUAGUAGUUUAUCUUAUGUCUACUCCUUCUAGGUGAAUAUUUCGUGUGGGGAAAACUCUAAAAAAUAAAAGGUAACACUUCAGUUGUUCUCCAUUUUAUAUAUUUCUUGUGGCCAAAUCCCUAUUGAUCUAGUAGAUCUGUGAUUAAAAGAACAUUGUAUAGAUGUUUCCUGAUUAAGAUGACAA